rnacentral:lncRNA from 1 species
GCCAAUUAUCUCCACACCUCCCCCAGAAACUUCCACCCAGGUGUGUGCCCAUGGUGUGACCACAACACAGAGCUUGUGAGCCAGCCGUGCCCAAAGAGCUUUCCCCCGCAGGACCAUGCAGACCAGCUCAUUAUCUCUGUGGCCUCCCAGCUGAAAUGUCAGUGGAGAACCCAGCUAUGCAGGGUCUGUGGCCAUCUUCUUAGCAGUGGAGAGGCAGGCAAGGCUGGCGUUGCAGUUGGAAGGCUGUCUCCAUGGGCUGGGACAACUCCUGCUGGAACAGAGCACUGGAGAUCUGUGGAUAUCGGCAAGGUGCAUGCUGUAAUUGCCAGAGGAGCGGUGGGAGCUCUCACAGGUAGAUGA